CGGAAGGCGAGAGUCCGCGGGAAAAGCGGUCUUGUUAGGUGAUCACUGUGGUUUGGGGAUGAGGAGGUCUCCUCAGGAGUAACCGCGGGCCUGAGCCACGGUCACGCCACUAUCCUUCGUUUCCUUUAGGCUUCUCGCUCACCAAAAGAUUUUCCCGUCCAGUUAUAAAGUGCAAGUUGUUUCCCAAAGGGAUUACUCUUUGGAUCAACACCUGUAGGAAAUGAGCUGCGCUGCAUCCCAGCCAACCCCACAGCUGAGAUGGAGCAGUAGCAACCAGAUGUACCUUCCCCAGCUGAAACAACCAGAAAGACAAGACAAAAUAGAUGAAAGAAUGGUUCUUGAGACACUGGACACCACACAGUGAAGAACAGCGAUCCCUGGGAGAGGAGAAACAAGAUGCAGUACUCCUGGGAGCUGUGGUUCAGUCGGUGGUGGUAACUGGGGCAUGCCUAGCUGCCCUGAAUGAUUAAGAGCAUAUCUUCCUACCUGGCGUCCACUGUAAGUGAUCAGAACCUGAGGAGCACUAAGCAUAUACCCGUUGACUGACUGGCUCACACUGGGUGCUGUGGAAGGAGCCCAGUGCAUAGCACUGGGAGCCUGGAGGCCUGGGCGGGAGCUCUGGCUCCUGCCCUAGCUUGCUGAAUGGUCUUGACCUCUCUGGGCCUCAGUUUUCUCAUCUGUAAGACAAGGGGAACAGAUCAGACAUUCUGAUUCUUUCUCAUUACUAUGAAAUGUUGGGCCUUCCCAAGCCCCUCUGCCAAGGUCCCAGGCUACAGGAGUAGUUCAGUACUCAGCCACUUCCCAUCGCCUGUUUCCUGGCUUAUGUCUAGCUGACUCUUAUCAUCAUCCUGUGACACUACUUGUCAACACAGGUAAGCAGCGACUUCUACAUCUUAAUGCUUUCUUCUCUUAGGAUAAGAAAGUGGGAUUAGGAAUGAGGUAGCUUCAUGUCCUGUAAAACCACUGCCAAAAUUAUAAAACUUGGAUUUAAUUCAACCAGAAAGAAGGGCCGCUCUGGGAAGCAGCUGAACCACUAGAGCCCCUGGGAACUGGGACGUUUCGGAGGUAAGGAGGCACACUGAGGGGCUCUGCUUUGGAGAAUGCGCCCUGGUCAGUACAGGCUGUGGGGGACUUACUAACUCGUGCUAAGCCUCACAGGAUCCUAGAGGUGAGGGUCCAAUUUAGGAAAGGCAGCUGGAUCCAGAGAAGACGGGUGAGGAACGAGGAGGAGGAGGAACAAGAGAGGCACACAGGAAGAACUGUGGAACUCCCAAUGAGGUAGAAAAACGAGUACCAAGUAUGUGACUCUGCAUUAGAAAGGGAAAUGGGCAGAAGGAAACGAAGAGGUGAUUGAACACCCCUAAAAAUAAACAUUGUCGGUUUAGACAACUAUAAAACACAUCAUAAUUCAGAACCACAUUGCCCAAUACAAGUUCCUGGUCAGUGCAUUCCAGUAUGGAGGUAGUCUAAUUAGAAACUAGAGGGUGGUCCAGUGGUUAAGGCUGCAUGCUUCCACUGCAGGGUGUGUGGGUUCAAUCCCUAGACAGGGAACUAAGAUCCCACAUGCCACAUGGUGCAGCCAAAACCCCAAACUAACACACUACUGUGUUUCUGAAUCAAAGGGAACCCCAGGAGUAAGGCUCCACCUUGUGAGAGCUACUUUCUGGUAGCCUCUCUCCUGUGAGAGCAGGUCUCUGAAACAGGAGGCGGGACCUCAGGGGACA